UUUAGCUGGUAUUAAUUGUUUUAUAAACAUUUUAGACUUUGUACACAUAUUAGCAUAACUAUACAUUUUUGUUUUGGGUAACAUGUUGUUCGUGAAAUAUAUUGUGUAGAAUCUAAUGUAGGCAUAGUUGGAAUGCAUAUAGUUGUAAGUUUAGACAUCUAUCAUAAAUGACUUUAUAACUUUUCUUAUGGCAAACAGUAAUUUUAAUAAAUUUAUUUAAAAAACAAUAUCUUGAUAUAUUACAACGCAAGUAACAAUAUUAAAAUAAAUCAAUAAUUGUUUCUUUAGAUAGUAAGUAGAUGUAGAGCACUAAAGGCACAUCUUUUUAAUUCGAAUUUUUUAAACAACGGAUGUUAUGCUCUUACCUAAAUUUUAUGCCCUACUCUAAAUGCAUAACGAUCAUCUGCUAUUUAUUAUUGUGUAUCAAUCUGUGUAAUGUUUUAGGUUAAUAGGACGCGGACUAUAUAAAGUAUUUCUAGUCGUAGCUUACUAAAUGAAACAAUAUUUUUUUUUAAAUUGAAUGGGGAAAAUGAUUUAAUCAUUAAAUAUUUAAUACAAAUGUUGAUGAGUAAUAAUUUUAUAAAAUUCUUAACAAUUAUUUUUAGCUAUUUUUAUUAUGUUGAAUACCAUUUUGAGGGUUUGUUUUUGAGUCUUUUUUAUUUUUUUUACUCUAGGGACCUCCCAGUCUCUUAAUAACUUGGAAACAAACUGCAAAAGACUCAGCUAAAGAAUAUCCAGCAACUGGUGAAAUCAGUAAUUACAACACAUCGCCAUCUAUUGUUUCUACUGGCUGUGCAAUAAGUAAUUAUACCUCUGAACUAGAAUUUGAGCUACAAGAAACUGAUGAUGGAAACACUUACUACUGUAUAGUUUCCAACGAUACUGUUGAGCAGAGCAAACUAAACUUCACUAUUCGUACUUUCCCAAGUAGGUCUUGUAUCUUUUUAGUUUGUUUCAAUAAGCUCUUAGUCUCUGAAUGAAAAUUUGUUUUCUAUUUUUUUCUCAUUUAUUUAAUUUGUGUAACUCAUUUCUUUUAUCUAAUCAAACUAUUUCUUAUAUUUACGUUGGUUCAGUUGUACUAGAUGUUUGGAGCUAUUAACGAACGGGAGAUCAACACCACUUCCAAAACAUUCUUUGUAAGGCAACAGAGUUCGGAUUUAGAGUUUUCCUUCUCCUAGGUGGGUAGCCAGCAAACGCUUAUGAGCUCCUCCUGAAUAAAGCUUAUUGAUUUGGCAAAUGUAUCUCGCCCUUUGCAACUUUUCCUGUCAGUAACUAAAUAUCCGCCGCACAUAAUAUCAGAGCCUCACGUGAAAGACAGGAGUUCGACCGAUUGCCAGAGGUUAUUUAACAUGCAUGCAUUUUAAGGCAUUUUAUAGGUAGUGGAGUGCCGGUUUUCAUUUAUACUAUUGGCAAUAACAACUUUAUAGAACCUAA